CGCUGCUUGGCAGACAUUUAUCACCCGAUCCUGGGAGUGGAGAAGCCUCAGUGUGGCUGGUGGCCUGCCCGAGGGCUGGGCUGCCCCAGGAGCCGCACGGCUUCUCUGUGCCUGGCCCAAGGCCCUGCAGGUGCCCAGCAAGGCAAGGACACCCUAGCCUGGGCCGGAGGCUGGGGUGCUAGAUGUGUCUGGGGCCUGUGGAGCGCCUCGCCAGGAGCCACCUGCCACCUGCAGAGGCCAGAGACCCCUCAACCAGGGAAUGGUGGCAGCGCGUGGAGUCACGGGGAACACAGGAGAAGGAGGCCCAGAAUGCCCAGAACAGAGGGACCUGCAUGUCCAGACCCUACCAGAAUCACAGGCACAGGCCACCAAAGAGGCUGGACGAAAACCCUGGGAGGUGGCAGUGGCCUGCCUCCACCCCAGGCGGAUCCCAGGGCUGAGCACCGAGCAUCUGUUUCCAACAUGAAGAUGGAUGAACAACAGUGGGAGUGUGUGUAACCCCACAGAACUGCACAUGUAAGGCUGGACUUGGUGGCUCACCCUGUAAUCCCAGCACUUUGGGAGGCUGAUGCAGGAGGAUCGCUUGAAGCCAGGAGUUUCAGACCAGCCUGGGCAACAUAGCAAGACCUUGUCUCCACUAAAGAAAAAAGAAAGCCAGGUCUGAUGGUCCCAGCUACUCAGGAGGCUGAGGCAGGAGGAUUGCAUGAACUUGGGAGGUCAAGGCUGCAGUCAGUUAUGAUUGUGUCGCUGCCCUCCAGUCUGGGCAACAGAGCAAGACCUUGUCUCAAAAAUAAGCAGGUAAAUAGGCUGGGCACAGUGGCUCACCCCUGCAAUCCCAGGAUAUUGGGAGGCCAAGAUGGGUGAAUCACCUGAGGUCAGGAGUUUGAGACCAGCCUGACCAACAUCAGGAUUUCAUCAUGGUGAAGUCCUGUCUCUAUAAAAAUACAAAAGCUAGCCAGGCAGGUGGUGCCUGUAGUCCCAGCUACUCGGGAGGCCGAGGCAAGAGAAUUGCUUGAACCUGGGAGGUGGAUGUUGCAGUGAGCUGAGAUCACACCACUGCACUCCAGGUUGGGUAACAGAGCGAGACUCGUCUGAAAAAAAUAAAAGAGAAAAAGUAGGUAAAUAAAUGAACGGC
rnacentral:lncRNA from 13 species